rnacentral:misc_RNA from 1 species
UCUUCCUCUUCUUCUUCUUCUUGUGCCAUGUUUUCAAGCAAACUCAAGGAAGACAAGGCAAAGCAGUCAGAGGAGUCCCUAAGGAAAGUCAUGUACUUGAGUUGUUGGGGUCCUUACUGAGGAAUCUUUCUUCCAUUUAUCAUGUUGGAAGAGUUUUAGGAAACUGAUAGGAGUAAUCCAAUCUAAUUGCUGCUAAUUCAUGUAACUUGUAAAUUUCACUGAUUAUAAUUGAUGAUAUCAAAUUCGAGACUAAUACUUCUACAUUUUUCUACUAUGUAUAUACCAUUUUCUUUUAUUUUUAUUCAUGUGAAAUUGGCAUACAAUGAUUGAAAUCACGGCAAUUGACAUUUGAAUUACAUGGUUCCCAUUGCUCUUAAGAUUGCAAUUAGAUCAUUAGGUGAUAAACCAUGGAAGUUGUUAUUGUUUGAGGGUCCUGCAGCGCUUCCUCCAAUUCGGUCACAGAGUGCAUGCCUACACACUGGGCACUGCCCAUGGCUCUUCACCCAUGGCACAAUACAUUCCUCAUGAAACAUAUGGCUGCAUGGGGUUACCAUCACCAUCUCUUUAGGCUCAAAAUCUUCUAAGCAAACUGCACACCUCUUUCCAUCCUCUUCUUUAUCCCUUGCCCUUUCACUGAGAAUCUUUUCAGCUCGGUCUCUGUAAUACAAGCACAAUCUACUAGAAAUCCUCUUGGGAACAGGAUUAUAGAUUUCUUUCUUUAACUUCUUCAGUGCCUUCAUUUGCUCAUCUUGGGUCAAUCGGGAGUCUUCUUGAGUGGAAGGAGAGGCCUGAAAAUAUCUUGGCUCCAUUAUUCCUGGACGGGGCUCCCUUGCAAGGCCAUUAUUGAGGACAAGGAAUGGCGUAGGCGAAUAUGGUUGCAUGGGAAAACUGCAAAAUUCCAUUGAUGGAACUAGCCAGUUAAGAGAUUGAAAAACUUUCAUAUAUUCCAUCCAUUGAUGGCCUAUGCAAAUGAUAAGUAAAAAUUAUUGUAGUAGCAACAAACACAAGCUAUAUGUUUAAUUCCCCUGGAGAUUAAUCAAAAUAAGCACCUCUAAAUCUCUUAUCAUACAUCCAUUUGCAUCCAUAUGUAUUACCACAUAGAAAAGAAUGUUUUUUAUUAAAAAGAAAAAUGAAAGGAAGAAAAGGGUACCCAAUUAAAUGGAAAGGUAUCAGUGUCUCCUCAACAUGUGGCCAUGGAUCAUCGGGAGCCCCUCUGCUUCCACCCUGAUACAAGAAGUCAAGUCUUACGGCUUAAUAGGCCUGGAGUUAAUUGUUUUCUGUUUUGUGAGAAUUUCAUGGCUUUGGAUACUUACCAGAGGGACCUGGGGAGGAGAGAGCCGAGGAAACAUGGGAAGUGAGGGGUAAUUCCAGUCAGUGUUAUUAGGAGCAUAGAUACCGUAGUCACGUCCAGUUCUCCUAUCCCCAGUUGGGGGUGGAUUGAAAUUGUUGAAGCCUCUGCUCAUCGUAAUUUCAGGCUGCUGGUAGUUGCAAAAUAUUCAUUUCUCAUUGCUAAAAUAUUGGUUGCUCAUUCUGUUAAGAGGGUUCUUUCGUCUCUGUAGCUUUUUAUUCCUUUUUUUGUUGAAAAUUUCAUUCAAGUAUGUGCGUGGAUAUAUCCCUUUUCAUGCAUCUAUUCUGAUGUAAAGUCGUAUUCUUCCUCCAUUAAAGAGAUGCUUGUCUGGUGGCAGUGAAUGACCAUCGCAAGAGAGAGAUAAAGAAUCUGCCAAAAAUGAUGUAAGAAAAGAAUCUAAUUCUAUUUUAUUUAGUUUGCAACAUUUCAGUUUGAC